ACAAUCUUGAUUUUUGGGUUUCUCAUUUUCUGCAAGUGAAAAGUAGGACAAAAUUUUUGGAUUUAAGCUACAUAAACCUAUAAAGGAAAAAAUUACACUGAGUCAAAUAAUAGAAGUUGGUUCAGACUUUAGUGUUCAGAUUUUCCAUAUAUGUAAUCUAUAUACGUAUCUAACUCGAACAUGGAAAAAUAUAAAGGAAAAAAUUACAUUGAGUCACUGAGAUAUAUUAUAUUAUGACCAGAAAAAAUGAAAAAUCAUAUAAAGGAAAAAGUCAAACCUUCUCAAUCGUCGAGGUCGAUUGAUCGAAGUAUCUAACUAUCGAAGAGAAGAAGAAGAAGAAGCUUCAUAGUUCACAGUCGGCAACUCGGCGUGGAUUCGGGACGAAGAUAAGAAGCUUCAGUGCUUCACAGUCGUCGUCGUCGUCUUCACAAUCGAACUAUCGAACUCUCUUAGACUCUUACUCUUAGACUCUCUGCUCUCAAGACUCAAAGUCUUAGUCUCAAUUUACAGAUCUAGAUCUAGAAAAAAAAAAUUGCAACUGCCGUCCUA
rnacentral:lncRNA from 1 species